rnacentral:rRNA from 1 species
GACGAACGCUGGCGGCGUGCUUAACACAUGCAAGUCGAACGAUGAAGAAAAGAAUCGAAGCUUCGGCAGAAAUUCAUUUCGGAUUAGUGGCAGACGGGUGAGUAACGUGUGAGCAACCUACCUCUUACAAAGGGAUAGCCUCGGGAAACCGGGAUUAAUACCAUAUAACAUUGCGACGAAGCAUUUCGAUGCAAUCAAAGCUACGGCGGUAAGAGAUGGGCUCGCGUCCCAUUAACCGGAUGGUGAGGUAACGGCUCACCAUAGUGACGAUGGGUAACCGGCCUGAGAGGGUGAACGGUCACACUGGAACUGAGACACGGUCCAGACUCCUACGGGAGGCAGCAGUGGGGAAUAUUGCACAAUGGAGGGAACUCUGAUGCAGCGACGCCGCGUGAGUGAUGAAGGAAUUCGUUUCGUAAAACUCUGUUCUAUGGGAAGAAAAGGACUGUACCAUAGGAGAAAGCUCCGGCUAAAUACGUG